CGCCCACCGUACCCGCACAUCGCUCGCGCCAUCCUCGCGCCUUCACCGGCCUCUAAUUGUGGCCUGUCCUUCCUUUUCCUUUUGCCUCUCUCGAUUCCGCUUAUGCCGCAGCCAUCACCCACGAUCCCGUACCGUCCGUCGCCCACCUCAAUCUGGUCAUCCCUUUCCCUAUCUCUACCCUCGCCCAAUCCUAGAGCGAGGCGAUGGCGGCAGCGGCGGCCGACGGGACCAGGAGGAGACGGCUAUGGCGCGAGCAGGCGCAGUCGUGCACAGAUGGCAACACAACAUGGUGAAGGAGGUCCAUUCGUCGGAGCAGGCGAGGGUCGUCAGCGUAGGCGAUUCGGCCCCUUGGGUACGUCGCGGACAUGUGAUUCCUCGAUCCUUGACGCCACCUUGAGUUUUUUUAUUGCAAUUCCAUGAGUCAUCCUGGUUGCCUGCAACGUGUUACUUGAUGCCUUGUUCUUGUUUGAUGAAAUGCCUAAACCGUUCACCAUCCUAACCAUAUCUUCUAUUCUUACCGAGGAAUUCCAUGUUUGAAGCCACUACUCUUUGAAGAUUCAAGCUGUAAAUGAUAUUAGAUCCCUUAUUAUAUCUUUUUUAGCAGGAAGGAGCAAGUGUUGUCUAAGAUCCCUGAUGUUUCACAUACCUGGUUUGUUUGCAUUGUUCUUCUUCAAGCUUUUAUUUUCACACCUGCCAAUCAAGUCUUGUGAUGCUGAAGGAAAUGUUGAUAAUUUAUUUCAAUGUGUUCGUAGGUGUAGGUUUUUUUUUGGCAAUGACAGGCUUGGAUCCAUAAACUGAUCUACCACGUUCAAGUGGCUUUAGCAGUUUUUGGUUGGUGCUAGCACUCCAGUUUAUCCUCCUAGAUCAAAUCAGAGAGCUAAUAGAGUACGAACUACAACCCUAUUGUGACAUCCUUUUUUAAUCCUACUGUUCUUUAUUAUCUGCCAUUUUAGAAUUUCAUGCAGCUGUAGUAUCUGGUUUAUGACUCUACUAUGAUCUUUUCUGUAUUUGCUACCAAUCAAAUUGCCAUGCUUAUUCCUGUUUCCCUCCUAGAUCUUUCUUUUUAUUUACAGUCUCAAUCUUUUCUGUAUAGUCUGGUAGUUUUUUUCACUAUUUCCCUCCUAAAUCUGCUCUUUUAAUUACAAUGUCAAUCUUUUCUAUAUAGUUUGGUAGGAUCACCCUCUAUAGAUUCAGUGAAAGUGGUGUCUUAUCAUAGUGUGCUGCCAGUAGUGAGUUCAUGCAUCAGCAACAAUUGUUGCUGGAUGGGUGGAGCUUUAUCUCCCAAGGUAACUAAGUUAGUGGUUCUAUAGGUAGGAAUUCGUGUUAGGGUGACUGCAUUCAAGGUGUUCAGUGAAUUGCCUUACGGUCUACAGAACUGACAUCUAGAGGAAUCAUUGAUUUUUGGAGUUCAUGUUAGCGCAUUUGCAUUGAUGAGUAAUUUGGUUCACCUAUGCCAAACCUCCUUGUUUACCUGAUUUAACAUUGUUGUGGAAGGAUCACUAUGCCAACAAGGGACAUAUUUAAUUGUAAUAUCUUUAAUUUACUGAUUUGUUGCCGAUACAUUAUCCUUUAUAAUGAUUUUUUUAUCUGUACAUUUAUCUUAAAAUUUCUACAUUGGAUACACCCAUAUCUUUUAUCUGCUAUUUUUUCUCCAGGUUUUACUUUCUUUUUUUUCUCAUGACAUUUUUAUGUCUCAGAAGGUUGAGGAUUGUACAAAAGGGUGAAGGUGAAAGAGGUAAAAAUAUGUGUUCUCAUCUUAUUCUCACAAGCUGUAUAUUUUUGGUGGAACAAGAGCUGGAGUCUUUAAGAAAAGCCUAAUACUGUUUGGAGGUUCAUGAUUCAGGUUUUCUUUUCUAUUAAGAUUGUGAUUUGACCACAUACAUGUGGUUGUGGUUGUGCUAUGCUCAUCUUGCCAACAAAUUGUCUAUGGAUCUUUUAUAACCCUUUUUAUAUAUGGUGAUGAAUGCCCUGUGUGUUGUUGUUUCAGGAAAAUAUAUUAAUUCUCCCCUUUUGUUAAGAAGUAAGCUAGGCAACACUUGCUAAUUUCAGAAAUUAGUCAGGUUAGACAACUGAUGAGAGUAUACGGAUGAUCUCUGAAAUGCGCACUCAUCUUAUUUUUCCUGUCCCAUGGUGCUCUUUACUCUUUAGCAUUUCAAAUUGCAAGGAGAUACGAAGUUGGCAUUGAGUUGUGGUGAGUGGUGACCUUUUGAAUUUUGCUAAUUUUACUAUUACUCAUUGUACUUUUACUAUUUGCAGCUGGACUAAUUACCAUGUUAUUUUCAAUUAAAUGAUAAUCAAGAAUAAGUAUGGUCAAGAUGCCACAAACGUUGGGGAUGAAGGUGGUUUUAGGGCCUGUUUGGUACCGCUCUCACGCGGCUCCAACCAGCUCCAGCUCUGGCUCUGUAUGGAUUCGCGACCCAAUCGUUUGGUACACCUUCCCGGUCAGCUCCAGCUCCACGUCUUGCUCAUGCUCGACGGCGCGGAGGCCGCAGAGGCAGAGGAAGAGGAGGGCGAGCCGCAGGCAAGCGUGAGAAGGCGUGGCUGCUGUAGCAUGAGUCGCGAGGAAGCGGCGUGGGGCAGGAGAGGGGCGGCGCGGGGGGCUGCGCCCGUGCGAGGCGGUCUGGGCGCCAGAGAGGGCUCGCGCGAGGAGUCGCGGGCGCUGGUGAAAACCUGCACCACCUGCUGCGCGAGCGUGAGGAAGAGGUGCGGCGCCAGAGAAGGACCUCCACGCCGCGAAAUCCGUCGCCCACGGUGAGCCUCUUCUCAAUUCACCCAGGCUAUGGCUUCUACAUGCCCUGGUGGACCUCAGCAGCCAUGGAGAGGGGCGGCUCGGCCGGCGGAGAGGGGCGGCGCUGCCUCUUGAAGAGGGAUGCGGCCGCGAGGAGGGGUGCAGGUGAUGGAUGGCUUGUACAAGGAGGGGAAUCGAAGGUGAAUCAGGGGGGAGCAGGUAUCUUCAGCUCCACGCCCGUAGGCCAAAAUCGUGAAUCGGUGCGGAGUGGUUCGGAGGUGGAGCAGCUGGGAGCAUCGGCGUUUGGCAGCGCUCUGCUCUAUUCUCGCGGAGCGAAGCGCUGCCAAACACAGCCUUACACUAACAAUCAGAUCAUGCCCAUCUGUGUGCAAACUCUUUUUUUCGAUAUAUUUUAACCUUUUACGGUCUCUAUGUGCAGCUCCAUCUAUUUGCAGACCAUGUUGUGAAGAUUUCUGAGGUCACCACAGGGAUUACCAGAAUUAGUGAUUAUGAAUUAAUGAAGAUUUCUAAGGUCACUACAGUGAUUACCAGAACUGUUGUCUUACCUAAUGGUUAUCCACUAUAGUCUGUACAUAUAGAACAGGAUCUGGGGUAACUUUUUUUAUGUGCCAACUUUACAUGUAAGCCACACUACCCAUCUUUUGUUUUAUGCACUGCCAAUUUAGGCAACACUAGAAAGACUAGAAGGUUUUAUGCCCAAUUUCUCCUUUUAAGAACCUUAAUUUAACCGGUAGCCUGGAAGUAUUUUGUGCAUACAUCAAGCUGAUGCUACUUUGCCUCAUGGUAAUAAUCUUACUAAGAGUACUUUUUUCUUGAAUACACAGGAAUUAUGACUAAGAGUAGGUAAUGGAAUAACUUGAUUCUGUAGUAGCCUGUGCAUUUAUCUGUCUUGAUUCAAAUAGUCCAUUGUCCUUGUCAUUGCUUAUUUGUUCACCUACGUAACAGUGUAGUUUUCUUGAUUGGUCCAGGUCAAGGAUGAUUUCGGAGUAUUUUAUUAUAUAGAGCAAAUAACCCUUCCCUUUUCUUCUCCAUUUGAUAUACAGAGCAACUCAAUAUAAUUUUCUAUUUGACAUUCUGAACAAAGUAUGAUAGCAGUGACGAUCGAUGAAGAGUAGGUGGUGAGUGCAUCGAUGUGGACACGAAGGUGAUGUGGUGGCUGUAGCAUGGCAGUCACCUAAGGGCCUGUUUAGUUCACUUUGCAUUUUUGCAAAAUUUUACUGUAGCAAAGAAAUCUUGCUAAUUUGAAGUACUAAAUGAAGUCUAUUUGCAAAACUUUUUGCA